GGAAGGUCAAACUAGCAAUGGAAACAAUCUGCAACCCAAAACCUGUACCAGCAAAGACAAAAGUAUAUCUAAACAUGUUACUCGUAUACAGUAGGUGGCCUGUUUCCCUGCAAUGGCAAAAAGCACUGGGCCUCACCUGACUGUAUAGUAGCAGCUCAUGCGCCUCUGGAUUGGUACCAUGUUUUCCAUUAUAUAUAUUUUUAGACCAGAGAUUCAAAGUGUUGUUAAAAAAUGCAGAAAGAACCAUUCCCACAAUCAAUAAACAUUUUCAAGCUCCAUUUAAUGUCCUACCAAAAGGAGUAUGUGACUGAACUGGGAUUGAGUAAAAUAGAAAGUGCUUUUUCUUUUACUGGAAUCAACAUAAAAUAGAUGAAGGGAUUUUAGCCAAACAGUGGAAUGAUGUGUGUGUAGAAAUUUCAAAUAAUCAGUGAAUAAACUCUUUCAAAGUAUCUGGUGGUAUGAUGUCAAUGUAGAUAAAAAGGCACAUGGCAGCUUGGGAUCUUAUGAGGAUUGUUGAACACACACAAUCACAUACACAUGCAGAAGCGUUCACAUACAUAUCCCAAGCACAUCUUACAUACACUCAUCUACACAAUCAGAUCAGUGUAUAUAUCUGGGCAAAGUAAAACAGGUUGCAUUUAUUAAACUUGCAUUGAGAAUUAGUGAGGGGCAAAAAAAAAAAAAAAAGUAAGUAAUCAUAGCAAUUAAGAACGUCCAUUUCAGCCUUUAUUGAAGUUUACAGGAUCCUGCAGAAAUCAAUGGGCAACCAAAAGAUUUCUCAAAUUCAGGAAAGUGUGUGUUCUUUUCUUUUAAAUAGUAUCCUUAAAGAAUGACCAAUACAUUCUUGGUUACAACUGUUCUUGCGCUAACAGUCCAAUUUUUUUGUUGAAAUUAACAUUCAUUAAACAUUCUCUAAAAGGUAUGCUAGUUCCCUUAUAUAUUCUGUGAUUCCCUCUGUCAUUAUGUAUACAUAAACAAGUUUAAUAACAUACCAAUCAGUGGUUAAUUCACAAUUGAAAAAAAAAAAGCACAAAAAGUUUACACUUUUACAGGUAAAUAAAAGAAUUUGUUUGUCAACUGUUUCCUUAAGGGCAUAGCAUAGUUCGGAGUUUUGUCUUAUUUUUGUUGGUUUGUAUGCAGUUUCAUUCUCAUCUUGUUUUUUGUCCUAUUACAUAAUUAGAUUCUUACAUACAAAUAUUGACAAAAUGGUGGCUUGUGCUUCGAAGCCUUCAAAGUCUAUUUAAUAACAAUAGUAAUAGUCGUGAGGAUGAGUAGCCGCGGCUAAGGGUGGAGGGGUGCAGGGAAGGGCAGGACUCAUAGCAAGCCCUCACUGCAGGGGCCGUCUUGGCUGCCGCUUGGCUUCUCCGCAUCCUGAUUGGGCAGCUCUUUGACCAUGAGGGCGGCACUCUUCUCUGAGAACUCCUCCCCGUCAGGCUCCAGGCCCUCGGGGCAGGGCAGCUUCAGCAGUUCCUCUCGUAGCUGGGCCGUGUGCCUCUGAAUGGGGGAGAGGGACAGAGGACACAGGGUUACCACAGAGCUCAGUUCAGAGCUACAAUUUGCUGUGAGGGGGCAAGUACAAACAUGGGCUCUUACAAGGAAACUGAUUUAUACUCUACCCAACAAUUAUGACAAGGCCUGUGAACUCUAAAUACUCUUCCAAACCAAUACAAAUUUCAAGCCCAUCAUUUAAAAAGAUGCACAAUGCAGAAAUCACGUUGCCAUUUCCUGGUUGCUAAAAUGUUCACCUAAUUUCAGUUUAUGUGACAAAACAAGCAAGUGUAGUAUAGAGAGUCAUUGUAUAAUCUAAAUCAAUGCAAAAUGUAUUUUCUAUAAACAAAAUAUUGUAUUUUCAGCUGUUGUACAAACCCUAAAGUAAAAG
rnacentral:lncRNA from 1 species